CUUUAAUUAAAUAGUUUUAUUAUUUAUUUUAAUACUUAUUUGAGCAAUGGAAAAAUAUCUAGAUUUUUAUGCUUUUUCUUAGUCAUUAAGCUAGCCCUAUUUCAUGGCUUAUAAAUUGAGAACUUUGUCUCAAUUUUCACCACACAUUUUCAACAGCCUAGGGAGAGGGUGAGAGGGUGAAGGUGUGAUCAAAGGAAGUAGAGAAGAAGAAGAAGAAAAAUAAUAAUAAUAAUAAGGGUGACUCUCAAAAAGGUGGUGAAGCAGUUAUAAUGAUGAAAGUUAUUGCAAAGGCAAAUACGAUGAAGUGUUGGAGCGGUGGUUCAUUUGAAGACUUAGACUAGUUGUUUUUGUUUUCAAUGUUUUGUAAUCCUGCAAUGGAAAAUAAACGAAUGAUCUGUGAUACUAACUCUGGUUAUAUAUGUAUAUUAAGAUGUUUUGGUUAUC